rnacentral:rRNA from 1 species
UACGGAGGGUGCAAGCGUUAUCCGGAUUCACUGGGGUUAAAGGGUGCGUAGGUGGAUUAGUAAGUCAGUGGUGAAAUCUCCGGGCUUAACCCGGAAACUGCCAUUGAUACUAUUAGUCUUGAAUACCGUGGAGGUCAGCGGAAUAUGUCAUGUAGCGGUGAAAUGCGUAGAUAUCUGGAGGAAUACCGGUGGCGAAGGCGGCAUCCUGGACCGACAUUGACGCUGAAAACCGAAAGCUAGGGGAGCAAACGGG